GAUGAACGCUAGCGGGAGGCUUAACACAUGCAAGUCGUGGGGCAGCACGGGGUAGCAAUAUCCUGGUGGCGACCGGCGCACGGGUGAGUAACGCGUAUGCAACCUACCCAGUACAGGGGGAUAGCCCGGAGAAAUUCGGAUUAAUACCCCAUAAUGAUAUUAAGAGGCAUCUUUUAAUAUUUAAAGCUACGGCGGUACUGGAUGGGCAUGCGUAAGAUUAGCUAGUUGGUAGGGUAACGGCCUACCAAGGCUCCGAUCUUUAGGGGUCCUGAGAGGGUGAUCCCCCACACUGGUACUGAGACACGGACCAGACUCCUACGGGAGGCAGCAGUGAGGAAUAUUGGUCAAUGGGCGCAAGCCUGAACCAGCCAUCCCGCGUGAAGGAAGAAUGCGCUAUGCGUUGUAAACUUCUUUUCCGGAGGAAUAAAAUUUUGUACGAGUACAGGACUGAAGGUACUCCGGGAAUAAGCAUCGGCUAACUCCGUGCCAGCAGCCGCCGUAAAAC
rnacentral:rRNA from 1 species